GAUGAACGCUGGCGGCGUGCCUAAUACAUGCAAGUCGAGCGAACGGACGAGAAGCUUGCUUCUCUGAUGUUAGCGGCGGACGGGUGAGUAACACGUGGAUAACCUACCUAUAAGACUGGGAUAACUUCGGGAAACCGGAGCUAAUACCGGAUAAUAUUUUGAACCGCAUGGUUCAAAAGUGAAAGACGGUCUUGCUGUCACAUAUAGAUGGAUCCGCGCUGCAUUAGCUAGUUGGUAAGGUAACGGCUUACCAAGGCAACGAUGCAUAGCCGACCUGAGAGGGUGAUCGGCCACACUGGAACUGAGACACGGUCCAGACUCCUACGGGAGGCAGCAGUAGGGAAUCGUCCGCAAUGGGCGAAAGCCUGACGGAGCAACGCCGCGUGAGUGAUGAAGGUCUUCGGAUCGUAAAACUCUGUUAUUAGGGAAGAACAUAUGUGUAAGUAACUGUGCACAUCUUGACGGUACCUAAUCAGAAAGCCACGGCUAACUACGUG
rnacentral:rRNA from 1 species